AACAAAGCCCGCUUCUGCGGGCUU
rnacentral:sRNA from 1 species